rnacentral:rRNA from 1 species
CAGCGCCGCGGUAAUACAGAGGCCUCAAGCGUUGUUCGGAUUCAUUGGGCGUAAAGGGUGCGUAGGUGGCUUGGUAAGUUGAAGGUGAAAUCUCGGGGCUUAACCCCGAAACUGCCUUCAAUACUGCUAGGCUCGAGGACUGUAGAGGAGAAUGGAAUUCACGGUGUAGCAGUGAAAUGCGUAGAUAUCGUGAGGAAGACCAGUGGCGAAGGCGAUUCUCUGGGCAGUUCCUGACACUGAGGCACGAAGGCCAGGGGAGCAAACGGGAUUAGAUACCCGCGUAGUCCCUGUCUCUUAUACA